CCGCAGUGUUCUAGCUCCGCUCAGUUUAGACGCUUCCCCAGUUCGCUGGUUCACUAUGGCGGGUUAGGGAACAGGUAGUGACCAGCCUUCUGCAUUUCGCCUUAGGUUCUGCCCCUUAUGUGGAGGGCGGAGGGCUUUUGCAGGCACUGGAAGGGUUCAGCUGCAAUGGCGUUUUGGUAGGGUUUCCCAAUUCGUCGGUCACGACGUGACGUCAUAGUGACCGACUGAAAGGGAACGUCUCGGUUACGUAUGUAACCCUCGUUCCCUGAAGGAAGGGAACGGAGACGUCACGUCCCGUCGCCACAGUUUGCUGUUCCAUUGCUGUUUUCAGGCCGGGCACUGUUGCUCGGCUUCUCAGCAAUAAUAUAGCUGAUUUGGUAUUAUACCAAAUCAGCUAUAUUAUUGCCUGGCGGAGCGGCGCUGGCAUUAUGCAAAUACCUGCAUGCCAAGUUCAUUGGCGUUUUCAUAGUUUCUCGAAGUAGAUAGGUCACCCGCGAAGCGGUUCCCAAUUCGUCGGUCACGACGUGACGUCUCCGUUCCCUUCCUUCAGGGAACGAGGGUUACAUACGUAACCUAGACCUUUUUGUUGGCGCCGGCAUUAUGCAAAUACCUGCAUGCCAAGUUCAUUGGCGUUUUCAUAGUAUCUCGAAGUAGAUAGGUCACCCGCGAAGAGGUUCCCAAUUCGUCGGUCACGGCGUGACGUCUCCGUUCCCUUCCUUCAUGGAACGAGGGUUACAUACGUAACCGAGACGUUUUUGUUAGAUGAAAUUAUUUUAACAAUAAUAACUUUUCCUGAAAUUGGCACAAAUGGCACAGUUUCCCGAGAAUGAAGCUUACUAAUGGCCUGCCUUAUAAGUAAAUCAGCUGGAGAUUGGUGAAAAGAAAAUAAUUUCCAACUCCACCCUUAACCAACUUAGAGGAAGCAAAGCUAAAGGAGGUGCCUUUCAUUGCACAUAAAUGUUUCUCAACACACCUACAAAUCUUUGCUCUCACUUUACAUACAUUUUCAUUUCUUCAGUUUACUUUGCUAUUCAUACAUUGUCAGAUUCAAGCACAAAUAGAGGCUCUAACGUGGUACUGCUGCAUUAUGGAUAGCAAAAUUCAAAGUGCUCAAAGAGAUGCAGACGAGGUGAAAGUCAUUAUGUUGGAAAAUAUACAUUCAGAUCUCAGUCAGAGAGCUGAACAUCUUCAGAACACUGAUUUGGACGAAGCCGUGAAACCAAAAAGGAACAAGAAGAUGGAGUACCUUCAGGCUAAUAAAGGACUUGUUACCAUUGUACUAAUUUCAGCUAUUAUUGUAUUUGCUGUUGUGGUUGCUAUGCUUGCCACCCAUGACAUGCAAGCGCACACAGAAAUACACAGUGAUUUGGAAAAGCCAUAGUAUCAACAGCAGCAAAUUGAUCAACACGAAGAGAACAAAUCACCGGCAGUUUUGUUCAGGGUAUAAUUUACUCCACCGCUGCUGGAAGACAUUUAUGACUUAACACAUGUUGGCGUGCAUUGUGUUAUAAGAAUUAUCUGAGCUUAUGUGAAAAAAUGCAUUCUCUUUAAAAAAAACUUUCUUGUUAUAUGUAGUUUGAGUUUCACAGAAUUAGUUUAAUUGAUAUUAUUUAAAUGGGCAAAUUGCCCCACUGAAUUACAACACUUCCCUAAAUUUAAAACAUAUGUUUUGAACCUGUAUUAAGACAAUAGUUUAAACACAUUUUGAGAGCACUUGAGGCCUGUUAACUUUGUCAUAUAAACAUGACUUUGCAGAAAAGGUUACCAAGAAAAUCUUAUCCAGUCCUAUUCCAAAAAUGUGCUGAUAGUUUGGUAUGUAAACAGAAGCUUAAUAUAGCAGAUUUAAAGGAAGUGCAUAUCUGUAUUUAGUGUAUCUUUCUGGUCAUUCUGUGCUUUUUAAGGUGUCACAAAUGUUUUUGAAAGAUGUUGUUUUUCCCUGACAGUUUAGGCUUUGUCCAUUGCUGAAGAUUUAAUAAAAACCUUUAACAUCA